CCCUUAGAUGUUCUGGGCCGCACGCGCGCUACACUGACGAAUGCAACGAGCUUAUAACCUUGGCCGAAAGGUCUGGGUAAUCUCCAAAUUUCGUCGUGAUGGGGAUAGAUUAUUGCAAUUAUUAAUCCUCAACGAGGAAUGCCUAGUAAGCGCAAGUCAUCAGCUUGCGUUGAUUACGUCCCUGCCCUUUGUACACACCGCCCGUCGCUCCUACCGAUUGAAUGGUCCGGUGAAGCGUUCGGACCGUGGCCUUUGGACGGUUCGCCGUCUGUUGGCUGCGGGAAGUUCGUUAAACCUUAUCAUUUAGAGGAAGGAGAANUCGUAACA
rnacentral:rRNA from 1 species